GCACUUACUGGCAGGGAAGAUGCCAUGAUCACGAAGAUAGUUUUCCCAGCGUGAGGCUUAUCCAUGCACUANGGAUGGGCUGACCCCUAAGAUUUCCCCCAAUGCAGGAAACUUAACUAUAUAAUUUGUGGUAGUGGGAGACCACAUUUAACGCCCCUCCAA
rnacentral:snRNA from 1 species